rnacentral:lncRNA from 1 species
UUAAUGGGAAAUAAGGGAAUAAAACUAAUGAAACCCUUAAAAAUAAACUCGGAAGAAAUAUGCUGGUAGAGAAUGGAAUUUAGAGAAAUUCUGUAAAAAGGAAGUUUUAAGACCCAAUGACCACCUUACAUAUACUAAUAACAAAGGACAAACCUCAAUCAUAUUUACCGACUAUAAAUAUUCAAACCAAAGGGAAAUAGAUGAAGACCUCGAAGACAACACCACCGAAACAACAAUAAACAUGGAAGGAAUGAAUAUUCAUAUCAUAAAAGAAGAC